rnacentral:piRNA from 1 species
AACUAAGGAACAACUGUAUGAUAAAGACA